CAGUAGCCACGGUAAUACGAAGGGUGCAAGCGUUAAUCGGAAUUACUGGGCAUAAAGCGUGCGUAGGCGGUUUGUUAAGUCUGCUGUGAAAUCCCCGGGCUCAACCUGGGAAUGGCAGUGGAUACUGGCAAGCUAGAGUGUGUCAGAGGAUGGUGGAAUUCCCGGUGUAGCGGUGAAAUGCGUAGAGAUCGGGAGGAACAUCAGUGGCGAAGGCGGCCAUCUGGGACAACACUGACGCUGAGGCACGAAAGCGUGGGGAGCAAACAGGAUUAGAUACCCCAGUAGUCCCUGUCUCUUAUAC
rnacentral:rRNA from 1 species